CCUUUUUGGAGACAGAUUCGCAGUGGUCGCUUCUUCUCCUUGGAUUUGUUAAGGAUUCCAAGUAACUCUUAUUUGGUGAGUAAAUCUGCUAAUUGUUUUUUGCUUAUCAGCUCUUUGUCAAUGAUUUCUGUAAUGGAAAUAGGAUUGAAGAGACUUUUAUUCUAGUUGGUCAGGAUUUACCUCUG
ensembl:lncRNA SNHG3 small nucleolar RNA host gene 3